rnacentral:rRNA from 1 species
GUGAAAUUGUUGAAAGGGAAACGAUUGAAGCCAGUCGUACCUAUGGGUAAUCAGCCUUUUGGGUGUGAUUAUGUGGAGCGUGAGGAGCUAAACACCCUCAUCUUUGCAUAUUCGUGCACUUUGGUUGUACUUGCUCGUGUGGUAGGUUAACAUCAAUUUUGAUCGUCAUAAAAUGGCUAGAGGAAUGUGGCUUCGAUCUCGUAUUGAAGUGUUAUAGCCUUUGGUAGAUGUGAUGAUUAGGAUUGAGGAUUGCAACGGAUACCCUUCGGGGCUACCUGUCUGAUCUCUGAUCGUUGCUUUGGUGCCGAAAGCUUGCUUACGGUAAUCAAAGUCGAUGGUCAAUAGGUUAGAACGGGUUAAAUUCGUUAAGGAUGUUGACGUAAUGGCUUUAAACGAC